rnacentral:tmRNA from 1 species
GGGGGUGUAAUGGUCUCGACAUUGGUCUUAGCCCUUGUGGUGCACGCCGGAGUCCGGCUCCGUCAUCAACGGAACACAGUUUAUUUAACUGCAAAAAACAACGAACCAUCUUACGCACUCGCCGCUUAAUUACGGCCUAGCGUGAUCUUGCCACUUUUGCUCAAGGGGUGUGUCAAGGUCUAAAAGCAUUGAGCUACGGGCAACGUUGCCACCUGAGGCGCUGUCAAGAGAUUUUAGGUUAGCCAAGUGGCGUUAGCCCUGCCGUCCGGCGCGGCCGCUUGGUGAACUUCAAAUGGGACGACUAAGCGUGUAGAGCUGCAAGGAGCGGGGCUGAUGGACAGGAGUUCGAUUCUCCUCACCUCCAUAA